rnacentral:rRNA from 1 species
CCUUGUUCUACAGAUUUGUUC